CUUAGUUUUGGAAAGAGAGUUUGGAGAGAGAAGCAGAUGAGAAAUCAAUCAAUGGCGGACGUUAAUUUGACAAUUAUCCCUAACAAUGAUUCUUCUGUGCGCAAAGCAAAGAAUUAUGAUAGAUGUGCUUACUGCAAUGUAAAUAGAGCGGGUUAUCCAAAUUUGAAAUUGUUUCGCUUUCCUCAAAAUAUCGAAAUGUGCAAGAAAUGAUUAGAGGCCAGCAGAAUUGUAUCGUUACUGAAUGUUGAUACUGACAGACUGACUACACAACAGAUGUAGAUUGUGUUCAAGACAUUCUAAAAUUAAAGAUUAUGUAU